rnacentral:rRNA from 1 species
GGCAGAUUAGUUACCUUGUUUUAACCGGACGUUGGGUUACCGGAGUGUGAGGUUUAUCUGCAACUGAAGCUAAGCAGGGCUGCGCCCGGUCAGUCCAUGGAUGGGAGACCACAUGGGAAAGCUAGGUUGCUGCCG